UACGUAGGGUGCAAGCGUUUGUCCGGAAUUAUUGGGCGUAAAGAGCUCGUAGGCGGUCUGUCACGUCGGCUGUGAAAACCCGAGGCUCAACCUCGGGCCUGCAGUCGAUACGGGCAGACUAGAGUUCGGUAGGGGAGACUGGAAUUCCUGGUGUAGCGGUGAAAUGCGCAGAUAUCAGGAGGAACACCGGUGGCGAAGGCGAGUCCCUGGACAACACCUGACACUGAGGCACGAAAGCUAGGGGAGCAAACAGG
rnacentral:rRNA from 1 species